ensembl:snRNA U4 U4 spliceosomal RNA
AUAAUCUUGUAUUGACAGUGUCAUAGUCAGUGGCAUUUAUCUGAGGCAUGAUUAUUGCUAAUUGAAAAGUUUUCCCAAUACCGCAGUGUGAUGACUUGAAAUAAUACCAAUAAUAAUAGCAAGAAGUCUAGUUACACUU